GACGAGGGAUCCUAGCGUUGUUCGGAAUUAUUGGGCGUAAAGCGGGUGUAGGUGGCCAUGUAAGUCAGAUGUGAAAGCCCAGGGCUUAACCCUGGAAGUGCAUUUGAUACUGCGUGGCUUGAGUGUGGGAGAGGAUAGUAGAAUUCCUGGUGUAGUGGUGAAAUACGUAGAUAUCAGGAGGAAUACCGGAGGCGAAGGCGGCUAUCUGGCCUAACACUGACACUCAGGCACGAAAGCGUGGGGAGCAAACAGG
rnacentral:rRNA from 1 species